AACGCACCACAUGCUUAUUAUGCAUAUCAAUUUUGGAACCUGACAGAAGUAGGAGACAUUACAGGAAGAUGAUGUUCAGAGUGCACAGUGUUUGACGUGGUUCUAACAACUGGCCCAUAAAUUCAUAGGAUGAAGUACAAUAGUCAAUA